GCCUGGCUGGCUCAGUCAGUGGAGCAUGUGACUCUUGAUCUUAGGGUUGUGAGUUCGAAUCCCACAUUGGGUG
rnacentral:tRNA from 1 species